CCUACGGGAGGCAGCAGUAGGGAAUCUUCCACAAUGGGCGAAAGCCUGAUGGAGCAACGCCGCGUGGGUGAAGAAGGUCUUCGGAUCGUAAAACCCUGUUGUUAGAGAAGAACAUGUGUGAGAGGAACUGUUCACGUUUCGACGGUAUCUAACCAGAAAGCGACGGCUAACUACGUGCCAGCAGCCGCGGUAAUACGUAGGUCGCAAGCGUUAUCCGGAAUUAUUGGGCGUAACGGGAACGCAGGCGGUCUUUUAAGUCUGAUGUGAAAGCCUUCGGGUUAACCGGAGUAGUGCAUUGGAAACUGGGAGACUUGAGGUAAGAAGAGGGUAGUGGAACUCCAUGUGGAGCGGUGAAAUGCGUAGAUAUAUGGAAGAACACCAGUGGCGAAAGCGGCUCUCUGGUCUGUAACUGACGCUGAGGUUCGAAAGCGUGGGGAGCAAACAGGAUUAGAUACCCGGGUAGUC
rnacentral:rRNA from 1 species